UUUUUUCUUUUUUUUUUUUUUUUUUAAUGGCCACACCUGGGCAUAUGGACGUUCCUAGGCUGAAUCUGACCUACCCUGCAGCUUCAGCGAUGCUGGAUCCUUUAACCCACUGUGCCAGCCAGAGAUUGAACCUGCACCUCCGUAGCAACCCGAGUGGCUGCAAUUGGAUUCUUAACCCACUUUGCCACAGCAGGAAAUCCUAGAUUUUUAAUAAUAUGGCAAACAAUGUAUUUUUCUACUUUAUUCAAAGUCUGGGAAUUUUUCAUUGCUGGCAGAUGAACCCCAUAAAUUACUCUUCUAAGAUGGGAUUGGUUUAUUUGGAGAGUGUUGCACUUAGAAAACUUGAAAUUCAAAAAUAGUUUUAACUUUGAAUUAAUUUUUGACUCACAGAAAAGCUGUAGAGCACAACUUGCUGUCGUGCCUCAGCGGUUAACGAACCUGACUAGAAUCCACGAGGAUGUGGGGUUAAUCCCUGGCCUCGCUCACUGGGUUAAGGAUCCAGUAUGGCCAUGAGCUGUGGUGUAGGUUGCAGACGAGGCUCGGAUCUAAGUUGCUCUGGUUGUGGUGUAGGCUGGCAGCUACAGCUCUGAUUCAGCCCCUAGCCUAGGAACCUCCAUAUGCCUUGGGUACAGCCCUAAAAAGACAAAAAAAAAAAAAAAAAAAAAAAGUUGUAGAGCUGAGAGUACCUGUAUACUUCCACCCAGUUUUCCCCACUGUUAACGUCUUAACCCUAACUAUAACCAUACCCAUAGAUAUCACAGUGGGAUCAAAGUGCACAUUGGGUCAACCAACAAUAGGAAAUCAACAUUGCUCUAAUUCUAUUAUCUAUACCACAGAACUUAUUGGAAUUUUACCAGUUUUUUCCACUAAUGUCCUCUGGGGUCCUAUUCAAGGUCCCGCAUCACAUUUAGGGAUUUUUCCUUGGCCCUCUCCAGUCUAUUCAUUUCUAAACCUUCCCUUUCCUUUCAUAGAUUCAAUACUUUUGAAGAGUACUCACUAUUCAUAGACUUCACUGUGGGCUUUGACAUCCACACGAUUAACAUGGGGUUGUAUUUCUUUGGCAAGAGUAUCACAGAAUCGAUGUCUUGUCUUUUUCAGUGCAUCAUGUCAUGGGCUCCUGAGUGUCCACAUGUCCUCUUCCUGGAAAUUUUAAUCUCCUUCACUGGGAUUCUGCUGUGUAAAACACUAUCUUUCUCUUUGCAGUUAAGAAAUAUCUUGGAGGACAUUUGUACAUUUAAAAGUUUGUACAGGGAGUUCCUGUCAUGGCUUAUUAGCAGGUUAAGAACCCAGCCUAGUGUCGGUCAGGAUGUGGGUUUGAUCCCUGCCUUUGUUCAGCAGGUUAAGGAUCCAGGAUUGCCGUGAGCUGUGGCAUAGGUCACAGAGGCAGCUCAGACCCCGAGUUGCUGUUGCUGUUGCUGUGGCUGUGGCCUAGGCUGGCAGCUGCAGCUCCAAUUUGAUCCCUAGCCUGGGAAUUUCCCUAUGUUGCAAGUGCGGCCAUAAAAAGAAGAAAAAAAUAAAUAAAUAGGCCUAAAAAAUAAGUAAAAUUGCACAUUUAAAACAAACAAAUAGGAAUUCCCGUUGUGGUGCAGUGGUUAACGAAUCCGACGAGGAACCAUGAGGUUGCGAGUUUGAUCCCUGGCCUUCCUCAGUGGGUUAAGGAUCCAGCGUUACUGUGAGCUGUGGUGUAGGUCACAGACACUGCUCAGAUCCCGCAUUGCUGUGGCUCUGGCGUAGGCUGGUGGCUACAGCUCUGAUUAGAUCUCUAGCCUGGGAGCUUCCAUAUGCCGGGGGAGCGGCCCUAGAAAAGGCAAAAAGACAAAAAGAUAAAAAAAAAAAAAA
rnacentral:lncRNA from 1 species